GCAGACACAUUCCAGCCAAUCAGCAGCAGACCCUCCCUCCCAGACCCUCCCACCUUCUUGACAGCUCACUAAGAAUGCAGCUUCAACAUGAAUGUAAAAUGGAUGCUGUCCAGGAGGUGGGAGGGUCUGGGAGGGAGGGUCUGCUGCUGAUUGGCUGGAAUGUGUCUG